rnacentral:misc_RNA from 1 species
UUACUAAAAAAAUUUAUGUCUAGUGCAAACUAUAGUAUGUUUAUAUAAAAAAUUAAUCACUAACUUACAAGGAUUCCAUCAAUGUAAGUACAUUCUGCUAUGUCAAUAUCCCUAACAUGUACCAUUUCCAUGCAUUCUUGCGGGAAAACGGUGACGAAAAAACCCACGUUAUAUUGAGUCGUUGGGACAUUAAACGAGUUAUUCAAAGCCAUAGGUCUACAAUUUGCUUUCAUUCAUGGUUGUUAAUACUGUGUGUUUUUUAUUUUCAGGAAAGGCAACCAUCAAAGAAAUUGUAGUCUUAAAACAAUUUUUUUGAGCAGGAACAAAUAAGAAUUUCUUGUGGUUGUAUGUUUACACUCACGGCAAUUAUUGGCAAAUGUCUGCAGCCAGACAAACACAUCAUCAGAUACUACAACCUAUCAUUGCCUUAAUGAAAAAUUUGAAGAUUUCAAAUUACGCCAUUAGGCAAAAGAAAAAGCAAGGAGGGUCACCAACCCCAGAGAAAUGUGUGGUCUUUGAAGAACUUGGAGCUAUUAAUUUGGUAAGUGACAUCUCGGCCUACAAGACGACGGGGUGUACAAGACGACGCCCAAAAUUCCAUUUAAAAGAGGUUGUGGGGGCCCUGGUGGGUGCCCAGGGAUACUGUCCUGGACCAAGUGGAUAUAUCUUAAGCAACAGGUGGACUAAAAUGCUUCCUCCCAAGGAUUCAAAGUUCAUUAUAAAUAAUUCAUUUACUUGGGUAGUGGAAAAGAUUAUUCUCUUUGUUUAGGAGACUACCUAUUACAUAACAGACAGUCCAUCCCCUACCCAAACUAUGGGUAAUCUUUACAACCUAUAAAGGGCCGUGACUUUUUUCAUAAAACUCCUUUAAUCGGCCUUCUCCUACAAGGAAAAGUGACCCUUUGGCAUCAUGGACUUCACGUAACGGCAGAGAAAAUGUGCUGGUGGUGACAGAUGUGUGUUCUGGGCAUUCACCACACGGGAUCAGAAGGUGGACUAAAAGGCUUCGUCUCUAGGAUUCAAGGCUAAUUAUAGAAAAUUUGUUUUACUUGAUUAGGAGAAAAGAUUAUUCUUUGUUUGAAGUACCUACAGUCUACGUGGAAAAAAAAUAAAAUCAUGGAAAGGCAACCAUCAAAGAAAUUGUAGUCUUAAAACAAUUUUUUUGAGCAGGAACAAAUAAGAAUUUCUUGUGGUUGUAUGUUUACACUCACGGCAAUUAUUGGCAAAUGUCUGCAGCCAGACAAACACAUCAUCAGAUACUACAACCUAUCAUUGCCUUAAUGAAAAAUUUGAAGAUUUCAAAUUACGCCAUUAGGCAAAAGAAAAAGCAAGGAGGGUCACCAACCCCAGAGAAAUGUGUGGUCGUUGAAGAACUUGGAGCUAUUAAUUUGGUAAGUGACAUCUCGGCCUACAAGACGACGGGGUGUACAAGACGACGCCCAAAAUUCCAUUUAAAAGAGGUUGUGGGGGCCCUGGUGGGUGCCCAGGGAUACUGUCCUGGACCAAGUGGAUAUAUCUUAAGCAACAGGUCAGUGGCUCACUUGUCAUAUGACUUGCCCUCAAAGAAUUAGUUAAGGUUAGUCCACUUAAUCAUCCUUAUUAAGUCUAUUUAGCUUUGGUUGCAAAUUUUGGUCAUAAAUGCUAUAAUAUCUCCAGUAGCUGGAAUUCUCCGAUACCCGGAAUAGAAAUUUGUUCAGAAAUUUCCGGAUUAUUCAAGGUCUAGAUGUACAGCUAGACCCUGACUUACGACGGGGUUAGGGACCCAAAUCCAGGUCGUAAGUCCGACGUAGAUAAAUAAAAAACAUAAAA